rnacentral:rRNA from 1 species
CGGUUGAUCCUGCCGGACCCGACUGCUAUCAGAGUGGGAUUAAGCCAUGCGAGUUAACGUAGCAAUACGUGGCAUACGGCUCAGUAACACGUAGUCAACAUGCCCAGGGGACGUGGAUAACCUCGGGAAACUGAGGAUAAACCGCGAUAGGCCAAGAUUUCUGGAAUGGAUCAUGGCUCAAAUCUAUAUGGCCCCUGGAUUGGACUGCGGCCGAUCAGGCUGUUGGUGAGGUAAUGGCCCACCAAACCUGUAACCGGUACGGGCUCUGAGAGGAGGAGCCCGGAGAUGGGCACUUAGACAAGGGCCCAGGCCCUAUGGGGCGCAGCAGGCGCGAAACCUCUGCAAUAAGCGAAAGCUUGACAGGGUUACUCUGAGUGAUUUCCGCUAAGGAAGUCUUUUGGCACCUCUAAAAAUGGUGCAGAAUAAGGGGUGGGCAAGUCUGGUGUCAGCCGCCGCGGUAAUACCAGCACCCCGAGUGGUCGGGACGAUUAUUGGGCCUAAAGCAUCCGUAGCCGGUCCUGCGAGUCCUCCGUUAAAUCCACCCG